GGUGUCAUGGCAGAGCGGUUAUUGCGGAAUACUGUUAAUAUUUUCAUGAAAAUGACAGGGGUUCGAAUCCCCUUGACACCU